CCGUUAACAACUACAUCCCCACUUGGCUACGUCGAUCACCUCGUCUCUCUCCUUUACACGGGGUUCCGUUUACCUCCACUGAUUUAUCUCCGUCUUCUACACCGGAGCAGCUCUCCUAUCUGGAUAUGGACCAACCAAUUGCAGCACUCCCCGCUUCAGCACACACUCUGCCCCUUCUUCUGAAGCUUAUACUCUUCUCUGGCCACUAGAUAUCUUUGUCACGUCCCCUACCUGCGCCCCGCGACAAGCGCAAUCAGAAUCAGGGCUGUGGAUGCUGGGAAACGCGCCCCGGAGAUCUUCUCCAAGAGAAUCACGUCACUGAGGUCCUGUAUACUGUAACUACUGUAACUGGUAGUUUUUGUUAAACGAGAAAAAGAUUAAUAUGUGUAUUUAUGACCACUCUUCAACUGCUAAUGACAUUUCGAUAAGAGGUUUAGUAAAUGAGAUACUGGCUCUGCGAUUGCUGGCAAUGUUGAUAGACGAUGUACCAAUCUUAUCUCUAUGGCAUUUGUUACCGGAAACAUCUGUAUAUAUCUUUGUUUCUCCAUUCAAACGGAUUAUUAUGGACCACCGAUGCGCUUUAUCGCUCUAUCCUUUGGGAUGCUUUUCUUCUUUAAUUUUUUUAUUGCUUCCUUUCUACAACCAAUUUAAAUUAACAAAUAAGUACGUACUGUUGACGGCGGGGUAAUGAAGGAUUCAAAGAUAAAGUUAAUGAGUAUGGUGAUGAUAGAGGAGCUCGUGAUGCAUAAAAAUAUUAUUCAAGAUACAGCUUGGUAUGUCCAUAAUUGAUCAAAGCGCCGCGAAUAAAGUUACAUAUAUUUAAAGUACGUAUGUGUUGUAAGGCGCGCGAUCGCCUCACGCGUACUUUAAACCUUAUUGUUUCAAUUGGCUUCUCUCAAUCUCGUGAGUACACACAUGUAAGCUGUAAGCUUCGAUUGACCACUCUUUACAUAGCCUGCCUCAUAUUCUCUUCACAAUACUCUUGAUUAAUAUUAACAUUUUAAUAAUUAAAAAAAAAAAGUAAUCUACGGAGGAUUUUCACUUUUAUUGCAUCUUAUUUAUGUUAUAGAUUUUUCCAGUUAAGUGCUAAUGAGCAAUUGCAAGUGAUUUAAUUUCAUUGAAAAGGUUUUUAAACUUGAGAAAAAAGCUUUACAAAUCAAUGUGACCAUUCGUCGUAGCACAGCGACGACGACGGAAAGGGGGAGAAGAGCGUUGGCGUCGGAUACUAUUAUUAGUAUGCAGCUGCCGACGAAUUACUGAAUGAAAACGAUGAGUCCGUUGGCCCAUCUCGCCACUUUAUCAAGAUUUUUUCUUAUGUAUUUUAUCACGUGAUGCAUAAGUAUAUGAAUAAGAUUCAUCUCGCUCUCCAAUCGAAAUCCAUCGAGUUUAUGACGCACA